rnacentral:rRNA from 1 species
GGGGAAUAUUGCACAAUGGAGGAAACUCUGAUGCAGCGACGCCGCGUGAACGAUGAAGGUCUUCGGAUCGUAAAGUUUUGUCCUAGGGGACGAUAGUGACGGUACCCUAGGAGGAAGCCCCGGCUAACUACGUGCCAGCAGCCGCGGUAAUACGUAGGGGGCGAGCGUUGUCCGGAAUUAUUGGGCGUAAAGGGUUCGUAGGCGGUCUUUUAAGUCAGAUGUGAAAGGUCACGGCUCAACCGUGGUAAGCAUUUGAAACUGAAGGACUUGAGUUAAGGAGAGGAAAGUGGAAUUCCUAGUGUAGCGGUGAAAUGCGUAGAUAUUAGGAGGAAUACCAGUGGCGAAGGCGACUUUCUGGACUUAAACUGACGCUGAGGAACGAAAGCGUGGGGAGCAAAC